UGGGAUUAAAGGCAUGUGCCACAAUGCCAGG
rnacentral:piRNA from 1 species